rnacentral:rRNA from 1 species
UUCGAUGCAACGCGAAGAACCUUACCUGGUCUUGACAUCCCGGAGACCCUUAGGAAACUAGGGGUGCUUCCAUCUGGAAGAAUCUGGAGACAGGUGCUGCAUGGCUGUCGUCAGCUCGUGUCGUGAGAUGUUGGGUUAAGUCCCGCAACGAGCGCAACCCUUGCCUUUAGUUGCCAGCAGUUCGGCUGGGCACUCUAAAGGGACUGCCGGUGUUAAACCGGAGGAAGGUGGGGAUGACGUCAAGUCCUCAUGGCCUUUAUGAUCAGGGCUACACACGUACUACAAUGGCCGAUACAAAGGGCAGCGACACUGCGAGGUGAAGCCAAUCCCGUAAAAUCGGUCUCAGUCCGGAUUGGAGUCUGCAACUCGACUCCAUGAAGUUGGAAUCGCUAGUAAUCGUGGAUCAGCAUGCCACGGUGAAUACGUUCCCGGGCCUU